rnacentral:miRNA from 10 species
AGGGUUCACCUUGUGAUCCUUGGU